rfam:Triticum aestivum genome assembly, contig: Triticum_aestivum_CS42_TGACv1_scaffold_459752_5DS
CUUGUACUGCCUCCGUCCGAAAAUACUUGUCAUUCAAAUGGAUGUAUCUAGAUGUAUUUUAGUUCUAGACACAUCCAUUUUGAUGACAAGUAAUUCCGGACGGAGGGAGUACUUG